UGGGGAAUAUUGCACAAUGGGCGCAAGCCUGAUGCAGCCAUGCCGCGUGUGUGAAGAAGGCCUUCGGGUUGUAAAGCACUUUCAGCGAGGAGGAAGGUGGUGAGCUUAAUACGCUCAUCAAUUGACGUUACUCGCAGAAGAAGCACCGGCUAACUCCGUGCCAGCAGCCGCGGUAAUACGGAGGGUGCAAGCGUUAAUCGGAAUUACUGGGCGUAAAGCGCACGCAGGCGGUUUGUUAAGUCAGAUGUGAAAUCCCCGGGCUCAACCUGGGAACUGCAUUUGAAACUGGCAAGCUAGAGUCUCGUAGAGGGGGGUAGAAUUCCAGGUGUAGCGGUGAAAUGCGUAGAGAUCUGGAGGAAUACCGGUGGCGAAGGCGGCCCCCUGGACGAAGACUGACGCUCAGGUGCGAAAGCGUGGGGCAGCAAACAGGAUUAGAUACCCUGGUAGUCCACGCUGUAAACGAUGUCGAUUUUGGAGGUUGUGCCCUUGAGGCGUGGCUUCCGGAGCUAACGCGUUAAAUCGACCGCCUGGGGAGUACGGCCGCAAGGUUAAAACUUAAAUGAAUUGACGGGGUCU
rnacentral:rRNA from 1 species